UAAUACGUAGGGAGCAAGCGUUAUCCGAAUUUAUUGGGUGUAAAGCGUGUGUAGGCGGUUUAUUAAGUUCAAGGUUUAAGUCCGAAGCUUAACUUCGGUUCGCCUUGAAAACUGAUUUACUUGAGUGUGGUAGAGGCAAAUGGAAUUUCUAGUGUAGCGGUAAAAUGCUUAGAUAUUAGAAGGAACACCAGUGGCGAAGGCGAUUUGCUGGGCCAUUACUGACGCUGAGGCACGAAAGCGUGGGGAGCAAAUAGGAUUAGAUACCCUAGUAGUCCACGCCGUAAACGAUGAAUACUAAGUAUCGGGGUUUCUCGGUGCUGAAGUUAACGCAUUAAGUAUUCCACCUGAGUAGUACGGUCGCAAGGCUGAAACUUAAAGGAAUUGACGGGCACCCGCACAAGCGGUGGAGCAUGCUGUUUAAUUCGAAGAUACGCGAAGAACCUUACCUAGGCUUGACAUCCCGAUGACUGUCUUGGAAACAAGAUUUUCUCUUCGGAGACAUGGUGACAGGUGGUGCAUGGUUGUCGUCAGCUCGUGUCGUGAGAUGUUCGGUUAAGUCCGACAACGAGCGCAACC
rnacentral:rRNA from 1 species